rnacentral:rRNA from 1 species
CAGGAGGGGGCAAGCGUUGUUCGGAAUUACUGGGCGUAAAGGGCGCGUAGGCGGCCCUCUAAGUCGAACGUGAAAUCCCUGGGCUCAACCCAGGAACUGCGUCCGAGACUGGGGGGCUAGAAUCCGGGAGAGGGAUGUGGAAUUCCAGGUGUAGCGGUGAAAUGCGUAGAUAUCUGGAGGAACAUCGGUGGCGAAGGCGGCAUCCUGGACCGGUAUUGACGCUGAGGCGCGAAAGCCAGGGGAGCAAACGGGAUUAGAUACCCCGGUAGUCCUGGCCCUAAACGAUGAAUGCUUGGUGUGGCGGGUAUCGAUCCCUGCCGUGCCGAAGCUAACGCAUUAAGCAUUCCGCCUGGGGAGUACGGUCGCAAGGCUG